rnacentral:rRNA from 1 species
UGGGGAAUAUUGGACAAUGGGCGCAAGCCUGAUCCAGCAAUGCCGCGUGUGUGGAGAAGGCCUGCGGGUUGUAAAGCACUUUCAGUAGAGAAGAAAAGCUUACGGUUAAUACCCGUGAGUCUUGACGUUACCCGGAGAAGAAGCACCGGCUAACUCCGUGCCAGCAGCCGCGGUAAGACGGAGGGUGCUAGCGUUGUUCGGAAUCACUGGGCGUAAAGGGCGCGUAGGCGGCUUGGUUAGUCAGAUGUGAAAGCCCAGGGCUCAACUCUGGAACUGCAUUUGAUACUCCCAAGCUUGAGGUCGAAAGAGGAGAGUGGAAUACCCAGUGUAGAGGUGAAAUUCGUAGAUAUUGGGUGGAACACCAGUGGCGAAAGCGGCUCUCUGGUUCGAUUCUGACGCUGAGGCGCGAAAGCGUGGGGAGCAAACAGGAUUAGAUACCCGCGUAGUCC